CGACUCUCGGCAACGGAUAUCUCGGCUCUCGCAUCGAUGAAGAACGUAGCGAAAUGCGAUACUUGGUGUGAAUUGCAGAAUCCCGUGAACCAUCGAGUCUUUGAACGCAAGUUGCGCCCGAGGCCUCCUGGUCGAGGGCACGUCUGCCUGGGUGUCACG
rnacentral:rRNA from 1 species